rnacentral:lncRNA from 1 species
AAUCAAUUGGUUCCUGCCUUAUGGGUUCGGCAAUGAUGCUGCUUUGAGUCUUAAUCAGGGGUUAAUAAAGUACGUGAAUUAACAAAAAAAAAAUCUGUAAAAUUUAGACAACAAUUUCUGUAAAGAACUAUACUAAUAAUUAUCAAAAAUAUCAAUUUUACUCAAAAAUAGUUUCCUCCUUAAAUAUAUACACGGUAAAACUAAUGUCCUAAAUGCCUAGUUUUGUGUACACUUAACCUACACAAGGCCUACAUUGACUAUCGACUGUGUGUAGAUAAAACAUGAUUUAAACUACAUGUAAACAUUGAGUUUUAUCAAUGGGAACGCAAUUGUGUUUAGUUUACGUGUGAGUUACACUAACACAACACCGAAUUUAGGUCAAUGUGAACACGGCCUCAGUUUG